rnacentral:rRNA from 1 species
CACGUAGGGCGCAAGCGUUGUCCGGAAUUAUUGGGCGUAAAGAGCUCGUAGGCGGCUUGUCGCGUCGACUGUGAAAACCCGUGGCUCAACCAUGUGGUCUGCAGUCGAUACGGGCAGGCUAGAAUUCGGUAGGGGAGACUGGAAUUCCUGGUGUAGCGGUGAAAUGCGCAGAUAUCUGGAGGAACACCGGUGGCGAAGGCGGGUCUCUGGGCCGAUAUUGACGCUGAGGAGCGAAAGCGUGGGGAGCGAACAGG